AGAAACGCCAGUGAAUGGAGACUCUACAUCCCAAGCAAAUGAGGGUAGUGUUGAUAAGGAAAGUGAAGAACGUAACCAAGAGUGUGAAACAAGUGAUCAUGGAAAGGAAGAAGACGGUACUAAUCUCACAGACGAAACUAGUAAUGCUGGCCUGAUCCCUGCUGAGACUUCUGGAAGUUGAGGGGCUGUGACACAUAGGAUUCUACUCCAUUAUUGCUGAAGACUGUCUUUGUCAGAAGUCCAUUUCAAGGGUUGCAUCUACUGUGUCCCCCUAUGCUCUUAGUGAUGUUUGGUUAUUUUUUGUUUUGUUUUUCCUAGUUUAUUUCUUGUGACAUGAAAUGAGUAUAAAAAGUUUUUAUAGAUAA